rnacentral:rRNA from 1 species
UGGGGAAUAUUGGACAAUGGGGGGAACCCUGAUCCAGCCAUGCCGCGUGUGUGAAGAAGGCCUUAUGGUUGUAAAGCACUUUAAGCGAGGAGGAGGGUACUGGUAUUAAUACUACCAGGUACUGGACGUUACUCGCAGAAUAAGCACCGGCUAACUCUGUGCCAGCAGCCGCGGUAAUACAGAGGGUGCGAGCGUUAAUCGGAUUUACUGGGCGUAAAGCGCGCGUAGGCGGCUAAUUGAGUCGGGUGUGAAAUCCCCGAGCUUAACUUGGGAAUUGCAUUCGAUACUGGUUAGCUAGAGUGUGGGAGAGGAUGGUAGAAUUCCAGGUGUAGCGGUGAAAUGCGUAGAGAUCUGGAGGAAUACCGAUGGCGAAGGCAGCCAUCUGGCCUAACACUGACGCUGAGGUACGAAAGCAUGGGGAGCAAACAGG